rnacentral:lncRNA from 1 species
CUCCCAAACUUGCUCCAUUAUAAAUAUCACCAAAGGAGUUUUUGAAAAACAGAGAUGCUGAUGUUCUACUUCAAACCUCCUUAAUCAUGGGAGGCUCUGCAACAGCAUAUUCUACAAAGAAAAAGAUAAAUGAACAGAAUUCACUCUAAGAUUCACCAUGGAUGUUUACUAGUCAACUUGAUGUCCCAAACCAUCUGCCUAUCUAACACAGCUGAUCUUAAGUUCGUGCUUCACAGCUAUUGGAUGCCCCUUAACCAAGGACUUAGGGCUCAAAUAUUUGAAGAACACUGGAGUCAGGAGACCAGGAUUUCAGAUCUGACUGACACUAACUAGGCUCACCUGGGAGAAACCAGAUGCUCUGUAGGAAAUGCAACGGUCCUGCAAACACCAUGCUAUGGGAAGCCCAAGCCAUGUGCAGAGGCCCUGGAGGAAGAGAUUCAUUGUGUCGAGCAAGAGACCACAUGCAUGAG